rnacentral:rRNA from 1 species
UACGUAGGGUGCGAGCGUUAAUCGGAAUUACUGGGCGUAAAGCGUGCGCAGGCGGCUUUGCAAGACAGAUGUGAAAUCCCCGGGCUCAACCUGGGAACUGCAUUUGUGACUGCAAGGCUAGAGUACGGCAGAGGGGGAUGGAAUUCCGCGUGUAGCAGUGAAAUGCGUAGAUAUGCGGAGGAACAACAAUGGCGAAGGCAAUCCCCUGGGCCUGUACUAACGCUCAUGCACGAAAGCGUGGGGAGCAAACAGG